rnacentral:rRNA from 1 species
AGCAGCCGCGGUAAUUCCAGCUCCAAUAGCGUAUAUUAAAGUUGUUGCAGUUAAAAAGCUCGUAGUUGAAUUUCGGGGUUAGUAGAUUGGUCAUGCCUCUGGUAUGUACUGGUCUCACUGAUUCCUCCUUCCUGAUGAACCUUAAUGCCAUUAAUUUGGUGUUUUGGGGAAUUUGGACUGUUACUUUGAAAAAAUUAGAGUGUUUAAAGCAAGCUAACGCUUGAAUACAUUAGCAUGGAAUAAUGAAAUAGGACGUUCGAUCCUAUUUUGUUGGUUUUUAGGAUUGACGUAAUGAUUAAUAGGGAUAGUUGGGGGCAUUAGUAUUCAAUUGUCAGAGGUGAAAUUCUUGGAUUUAUUGAAGACUAACUACUGCGAAAGCAUUUGCCAAGGAUGUUUUCAUUAAUCAAGAACGAAAGUUAGGGGAUCGAAGACGAUCAGAUACCGUCGUAGUCUUAACCAUAAACUAUGCCGACUAGGGAUCGGAUGAUGUUAAUUUUUUAAUGACUCA